rnacentral:tRNA from 3 species
GCCCCUGUAGCUCAGUGGAUAGAGCACCGGACUUCUAAUCCGUCGGUCGAAGGUUCGAAUCCUUUCGGGGGCG